rnacentral:rRNA from 1 species
UACAGAGGUCUCAAGCGUUGUUCGGAUUCAUUGGGCGUAAAGGGUGCGUAGGCGGCGCGGUUAGUCGGGUGUGAAAUCUCGGAGCUUAACUCCGAAACUGCAUUCGAUACUGCCGUGCUUGAGGACUGGAGAGGAGACUGGAAUUUACGGUGUAGCGGUGAAAUGCGUAGAUAUCGUAAGGAAGGCCAGUGGCGAAGGCGAGUUCCUGGACAGUUACUGACGCUGAGGCACGAAGGCCAGGGGAGCAAACGGG